rnacentral:rRNA from 1 species
UUUCAGAGAUGGAUUGGUGCCUUCGGRACUCUGACACAGGUGCUGCAUGGSUGUCGUCAGCUCGUGUCGKGAGAUGUUGGGUUAAGUCCCGUAACGAGCGCAACCCUUGUCCUUAGUUACCAGCACGUUAUGGUGGGCACUCUAAGGAGACUGCCGGUGACAAACCGGAGGAAGGUGGGGAUGACGUCAAGUCAUCAUGGCCCUUACGGCCUGGGCUACACACGUGCUACAAUGGUCGGUACAGAGGGUUGCCAAGCCGCGAGGUGGAKCUAAUCUCACAAAACCGAUCGUAGUCCGGAUCGCAGUCUGCAACUCGACUGCGURAAGUCGGAAUCGCUAGUAAUCGCGAAUCARAAUGUCGCGGUGAAUACGUUCCCGGGUCUUGUACACAC